CAAGUUAAGUUCUAGGAACAUUAUUAUUUACACUGAUAAUUUGGUUUUAACGUGCAAUUCGGCCUGACUUGA
rnacentral:tRNA from 1 species